GAUGAACGCUGACAGAAUGCUUAACACAUGCAAGUCAACUUGAAUUUGGGUUUUUUAACUUAGAUUUGGGUGGCGGACGGGUGAGUAACGCGUAAAGAACUUGCCUCACAGCUAGGGACAACAUUUGGAAACGAAUGCUAAUACCUGAUAUUAUGAUUAUAAGGCAUCUUAGAAUUAUGAAAGCUAUAUGCGCUGUGAGAGAGCUUUGCGUCCCAUUAGCUAGUUGGAGAGGUAACGGCUCACCAAGGCGAUGAUGGGUAGCCGGCCUGAGAGGGUGAACGGCCAAAAGGGGACUGAGACACGGCCCUUACUCCUACGGGAGGCAGCAGUGGGGAAUAUUGGACAAUGGACCAAGAGUCUGAUCCAGCAAUUCUGUGUGCACGAUGACGUUUUUCGGAAUGUAAAGUGCUUUCAGUUGGGAAGAAAAAAAUGACGGUACCAACAGAAGAAGUGACGGCUAAAUACGUG
rnacentral:rRNA from 1 species